GGUUACUGUUAUCGGUGUUCGCCUAAGCCAUGCGAGUCAUAUGUUCUUCGGAACAUGGCGUACUGCUCAGUAACACGUGGAUAACCUGCCCUUGGGUCCGGCAUAACCCCGGGAAACUGGGGAUAAUUCCGGAUAACGCACAUAUGCUGGAAUGCUUUAUGCGUCAAAUGGAUUCGUCCGCCCAAGGAUGGGUCUGCGGCCUAUCAGGUAGUAGUGGGUGUAAUGUACCUACUAGCCUACGACGGGUACGGGUUGUGAGAGCAAGAGCCCGGAGAUGGAUUCUGAGACAUGAAUCCAGGCCCUACGGGGCGCAGCAGGCGCGAAAACUUUACAAUGCGGGAAACCGUGAUAAGGGGACACCGAGUGCCAGCAUCAUAUGCUGGCUGUCCGGGUGUGUAAAAUACACCUGUUAGCAAGGGCCGGGCAAGACCGGUGCCAGCCGCCGCGGUAACACCGGCGGCCCGAGUGGUGAUCGUGAUUAUUGGGUCUAAAGGGUCCGUAGCCGGUUUGGUCAGUCCUCCGGGAAAUCUGACGGCUUAACCGUUAGGCUUUCGGGGGAUACUGCCAGACUUGGAACCGGGAGAGGUAAGAGGUACUACAGGGGUAGGAGUGAAAUCUUGUAAUCCCUGUGGGACCACCUGUGGCGAAGGCGUCUUACCAGAACGGGUUCGACGGUGAGGGACGAAAGCUGGGGGCACGAACCGGAUUAGAUACCCGGGUAGUCCCAGCCGUAAACGACGCUCGCUAGGUGUCAGGCAUGGCGCGACCGUGUCUGGUGCCGCAGGGAAGCCGUGAAGCGAGCCACCUGGGAAGUACGGCCGCAAGGCUGAAACUUAA
rnacentral:rRNA from 1 species